UCUUAUCAGUUUAAUGUCUGAUACGUCUCCUACCCGGGGACUAUACGUUAAAUGGAUUUUUGACCUUCGGAAAUGGAAGCGGAGCUUGCUCCUUCCACUCCAUGCAUCGACGUGGUAUUGCAGUGUUUCCAUGAACGGUGCGCUCCCCUUCUCGGGGACAAAUAAGUUAGGUAAAAAACAGAAUUUGUUUCUUUUGUGCGUGAAUGACAGAGUGUUUUUUAAUUCGUGUGUUUUAAAAGUGAUGUGUAUUCGUUGGCAUUAUUGGUUUAACGAAAAGCUUGCAUGGAAAUGAACACGCUGAUAACGAAAUGUUUUUGUAAUGUAUUUAAUUAUUUUCCUUUGCGGAGGUGAUACCAGGACGAAUUAAACAGCCUCGACACAGCUGAAGGCGCAAGAAAAUCGUACGAGACAGUUUGGGAUGUUAAAAACACCUGAAAACUUUUUUUUCACUACCCUUCAUACUACAGCGGUCGAAAAACCACAGCAACGUCGACACGCCUGGAAGCAUAGCUGUAUUUGUUUAAGACAACGGCUGUCGAAGAACCACAGCAACGUCGGCAGAUCUGGAAGCAUAGCUGUAUUUGUUUAACUCACAACGACAACGGGUAAGUCAUUGAGCCCUUGUGUUUUUAUUUAUCCACGUUCUAAAAUUGCUAUGCUUUCGUUGUUUCUCGAUUGCUCUGUACAUUUCUUUGUUUCUAUUCCACGUAAAGUUACUUUGUAAUAACGAAACGAUAUAUUGAAAUGCGCUAUUUAAAUCCAUUUGAUUUAAAUUGUUUCACGUUUUUCUCUCUGCACGGUUUAACCGGGCUGGAAACGGAAAAUGGGUAGAUCUCGAAGAAUAUUUGGUUUCAGACCUGGCUUCGUGCGCCUUUCCACCUGGUCACACACAGUAAUGAAAUGGUAGUCGGACGGCCUUCGGGGGCGCCGUCGAUGUGAUCGGUCACAGGAAGAUGCGGCCGUCUGGCCUCAAAGGCUGUUGCUCAUACUUACCUGGCAGGGGAGAUACCAUGAUCAUGAAGGUGGUUCACCCAGGGCGAGGCUCAGCCAUUGCACUCCGGUUGUGCUGACCCUUUGCGAAUUCCCCAAAUGUGGGAAUCUCGACUGCAAAAUUUCUGAUAGUGGGGGACUGCGUUCGCGCUCUCCCCUGGC